GUGGGGAAUCUUAGACAAUGGGGGAAACCCUGAUCUAGCCAUGCCGCGUGAGCGAUGAAGGCCUUAGGGUUGUAAAGCUCUUUCAGCUGGGAAGAUAAUGACGGUACCAGCAGAAGAAGCCCCGGCUAACUCCGUGCCAGCAGCCGCGGUAAUACGGAGGGGGCUAGCGUUGUUCGGAAUUACUGGGCGUAAAGCGCGCGUAGGCGGAUUGGAAAGUUGGGGGUGAAAUCCCGGGGCUCAACCUCGGAACUGCCUUCAAAACUCCCAGUCUUGAGUUCGAGAGAGGUGAGUGGAAUUCCGAGUGUAGAGGUGAAAUUCGUAGAUAUUCGGAGGAACACCAGUGGCGAAGGCGGCUCACUGGCUCGAUACUGACGCUGAGGUGCGAAAGCGUGGGGAGCAAACAGGAUUAGAUACCCGAGUAGUCC
rnacentral:rRNA from 1 species